rnacentral:tRNA from 1 species
GCGCUUUUGACUGGUGCUACCGCGUCGGUCUACGGAACCGAAGGUCACAGGUUCGAAUCCUGUCGGGCGCG